UACAGAGGGGGGCGAGCGUUGUUCGGAAUUACUGGGCGUAAAGGGCGCGUAGGCGGCCUUCUAAGUCGAACGUGAAAUCCCCGGGCUCAACCCGGGAACUGCGUCCGAUACUGGGAGGCUUGAAUCCGGGAGAGGGAUGUGGAAUUCCAGGUGUAGCGGUGAAAUGCGUAGAUAUCUGGAGGAACACCGGUGGCGAAGGCGGCAUCCUGGACCGGUAUUGACGCUGAGGCGCGAAAGCCAGGGGAGCAAACGGG
rnacentral:rRNA from 1 species